UGGAGGAGGCGGGCGUCCGCUGGGGCGAAAGCUCUGGAGGAAGGUCCGGACUCCGCGACAGGAGGCAUGCCGGGUAACGCCCGGCCGCGGCAACGCGAGGGAAAGUGCAGCAGAGAGUAGACCACCCUCGAACAGGUCGAGGGUAAGGGUGAAAGGGUGCGGUAAGAGCGCACCGCCUCUCCGGAGACGGAGAGGGCACGGUAAACCCCAUGCGGAGCAAGGCCGAAUAGGGAGACUGCGGGUGCCUGUCCCCACAUUCCACUGCGGUGGGUGAGGUCUCCGGGUAGGCUGCUCGAGCCGCGCGGUAACGCGCGGCCCAGAUGAAUGGACGCCGCCCCUUGGGGCACAGAAUCCGGCCUAUAGCCUCCUCCAGCCA
rnacentral:RNase_P_RNA from 1 species